rnacentral:lncRNA from 1 species
GGAGAACAAGAUUAUACCCUUCAUAGCCGUCGUCCCUGCCGGAGCUCGCCGGAAAUUGCAGAACACAGUCGAGCUUUCCUUCGAUCGAUCACCACCGAAUCGAGAAGAAAGUGUAAUCCAUGGACCGGGUUAGAUAGAAGAGAAGGAGAGGAAGAGAUUGAAGAUGGUCUCGUCGCCAGGGAUGGCCGGAGACGACGGCGUCAUGCGGAGGACACCGGAGGCAGGCGGAGAGGAAGAGGGAAGUCUGGGCUCGGGUCAAACCGAGUGUGGCUUCCUUGACUGGGUCAACCCCCUCUUAACCUUUUUAAGCCUAAACCCACAGCUGAAAACAAAACCCUAGAUCCUAUGGCCCAGAAUAAAAGUCAUACUCUAAUUCUAGACAAUUAACUCCUUUUACCGAACCUUCAAUAUAUCGCAGAAAAAAAAUAGCUCGAGACUCCAAAAAAAAUAAUCCGGAGACACCGACGAACUCGUAUCGACGCGCACUAGGACUUCGGGUCCAUAAAAGAAGAACUUGACAUUUUGAGAACUCGACAAUAAACUCGAGUGUUAAAUUACCAAAUUACCGAGCACGGUUAAAUUCUUCAGUAACUCGUGAAAUACCUAGUAAAUAGGUAAAAUUGGGGCCGGGAUGUUACACCGGUUCUGAGCGUUCACCCGGGAAACCGCCUUCAAAGAAAAAACAAAACUAUUAGUAAAAUAUUUAAAAACGCACAUACUUAAUGACAAAUUCACUAAUUAAUUUAUUUAAAUACCUGUUUACGAGGGUUGUUGAAUUCUGAUGUCAGAAGCCAACGCCACUCGUACUCUCUGUACUGGAACUCAGCAGGGGUAGCAGAACGUGCGUUCCCGUGCGUAGUCCAAUGGGUCCGCAACUCGUUCUUCCACUCCUUGUACCUACAUAUACAACAAAAAUAUUAGAAAUAUUAUUAAUAUCACAUACAAUUUUGUUUUUUCAUUAACUUCCCAACGUACCUUCCCCUAUGCACAAAGUCCGCCCAGCUGCUCUUCAAGGGCUCGGGAACCUCAAACCACACAUGCAUUUAACCGUUUAUUAGUUUAGUUUUUCGAGAAAUCUAAACUAUAAUACAUAAUAUUAUUAAGGCAUUUUGUAAACUCACCGACAUCGCGUUGUGGACCAUGUCCUUAACCUCUUACGGGACCUCGCCCCAGUCUGACCACAACAUGGGGACUCUAUCCCUAAUGAGCGCUCCCACACGGCCGGAGUACGUCCUCGACUUCCCGCCCGAUACUACGUCGCCAUCCCCGUCAGUACCGAUGACAAUCCUCCCUGAGGUACCGACGAUCUUCUCGAGAGCCUUCCCUGUGACGAGGCCUCUCUUCUUUUUUGUCGGCUUCGCUCCGACGAUGCCUAUCACAUGAUAAACCAAAUUGAUUAUUAAAAUCGGAGAAUUAUAAGAAAACAAAUCAUUCAUCUUUCAUUACCUGAGAGCGAGGAGGCGGACGUGACGGAUUCCGUCUCCGAUGAUGAUACCCUCGCAGAAAUAAGAGGCGUAUCAAAAGACAUGAACCGGUACGCCGCUGAUGGAGCCACUGGCGGGGGCAGUGGAUAAAUCGGCGUCCCUGAGUCAUCGACUACAGGUAUGGCCGAUAUCAUCCGCGGAAGGAAUAGGUGAGGCGGCGGCAUCUGUACCCUAGAUGACCCACUAUCCGAAGAAGUAAGACCUGGAGUGGGCGCCCGGUGUAUCUCAGGCAUACGGGAUGCAGACACCUCCGUCUGGGUCUGAGCAAACAACUGCCUCGAGAUAUGAGAGACGCCCCGCUGCCUCAAUGAAGGGCCCAUCUCCGUCUGCAGAAGGCUCGCAUGUCUAGCUGUCAUGAGGCCCUAAAACGACGUCUGAGGGUUGCUAGAGGUUCCCUCAGACGAUACGGACCUUCGGCCCUUCGAACCCUUCGUCGAUCUAAUAUUACCGCUCAUCCUAUUUAAAAUAUAAAUUUGAAUCAAGGCCACAAAAUCAAAAAAUGCAAACUCAUUUUAAAAAUGUAAAAAAUAUAUACACUUCCUAAAUACAAAUUUUCACUUCCUAAAAUUUACACAUAUACACUUCCUAAAUAUACACUUCAUAAAUAAAAAUAUACACUUUCUAACAACACCACAACAUUGCAAUUGACCGGAAAAUCAAAGCAAACACAAAAUACAAAACAAAUAUAUACAUUUCCUAAAUACUAAAUACANN